CACACCAUGGGAGUGGGUUUCACCAGAAGUAGGUAGUCUAACCGCAAGGAGGGCGCUUACCACGGUGAGAUUCAUGACUGGGGUGAAGUCGUAACAAGGUACC
rnacentral:rRNA from 1 species